CCCUUAGAUGUUCUGGGCGGCCCGCGCACUACAAUGGCGUGUGCAGCGAGUGCCGAAGUAGAGUUUUCCGAGGUAUUCUUGCAAUGCUCGUUUUGAUGGGGAUAGACCCUUGCAACUGUUGGUUUUGAACGAGGAAUUCCUUGUAAGCAUGGUUUAUCAUCCGACGCUGGAUGCGUCCCUGCCCUUUGUACACACCGCCCGUCGCUCCUACCGAUGAGUCGUCCGGUGAAGUUCGUAGACCUCGUGAUCGCGGAUCACUGGGGGAAGCAAAAUGAACCUCGCGGUUUAGAGGAAGGAGAAGUCGUAACA
rnacentral:rRNA from 1 species